GUGGGGAAUAUUGGACAAUGGGCGAAAGCCUGAUCCAGCCAUGCCGCGUGUGUGAAGAAGGUCUUCGGAUUGUAAAGCACUUUAAGUUGGGAGGAAGGGCAGUAAGUUAAUACCUUGCUGUUUUGACGUUACCGACAGAAUAAGCACCGGCUAACUUCGUGCCAGCAGCCGCGGUAAUACGAAGGGUGCAAGCGUUAAUCGGAAUUACUGGGCGUAAAGCGCGCGUAGGUGGUUUUGUAAGUUGGAGGUGAAAUCCCCGGGCUCAACCUGGGAACUGCAUCCAAAACUGCAUGACUAGAGUACGGUAGAGGGUAGUGGAAUUUCCUGUGUAGCGGUGAAAUGCGUAGAUAUAGGAAGGAACACCAGUGGCGAAGGCGACUACCUGGACUGAUACUGACACUGAGGUGCGAAAGCGUGGGGAGCAAACAGGAUUAGAAACCCUAGUAGUCC
rnacentral:rRNA from 1 species